AGUGAACGCUGGCAGUAGGCCUAACACAUGCGAGUCGAACGGCAGCACAGUAAGAGCUUGCUCUUACGGGUGGCGAGUGGCGGACGGGUGAGGAAUACAUCGGAAUCUACUUUUUCGUGGGUGAUAACGUAGGGAAACUUACGCUAAUACCUCAUACGACCUACGGGUGAAAGCAGGGGAUCUUCGGACCUUUCGCGAUUGAAUGAGCCGAUGUCGGAUUAGCUAGUUGGCGGGGUAAAGGCCCACCAAGGCGACGAUCCGUAGCUGGUCUGAGAGGAUGAUCAGCCACACUGGAACUGAGACACGGUCCAGACUCCUACGGGAGGCAGCAGUGGGGAAUAUUGGACAAUGGGCGAAAGCCUGAUCCAGCCAUACCGCGUGGGUGAAGAAGGCCUUCGGGUUGUAAAGCCCUUUUGUUGGGAAAGAAAAGCAGCAGGUUAAUACCCCGCUGUUCUGACGGUACCCAAAGAAUAAGCACCGGCUAACUUCGUG
rnacentral:rRNA from 1 species